CAGAGUUUGAUCCUGGCUCAGAACGAACGCUGGCGGCAAGCUUAACACAUGCAAGUCGAACGGACCGUAUACGCAGCUUGCUGCGUGUAUGGUUAGUGGCAGACGGGUGAGUAAUGCAUAGGAAUCUACCUAGUAGUAUGGGAUAGCCACUAGAAAUGGUGGGUAAUACUGUAUAAUCCCUGCGGGGGAAAGAUUUAUCGCUAUUAGAUGAGCCUAUGUCAGAUUAGCUAGUUGGUGGGGUAAUGGCCUACCAAGGCGGUGAUCUGUAGCUGGUCUGAGAGGAUGAUCAGCCACACUGGAACUGAGACACGGUCCAGACUCCUACGGGAGGCAGCAGUGGGGAAUAUUGGACAAUGGGCGCAAGCCUGAUCCAGCUAUGCCGCGUGAGUGAGGAAGGCCUUAGGGUUGUAAAACU
rnacentral:rRNA from 1 species